rnacentral:rRNA from 1 species
AACGAACGCUGGCGGCAUGCCUAACACAUGCAAGUCGAACGAGACCUUCGAGUCUAGUGGCGCACGGGUGCGUAACGCGUGGGAACCUGCCCUUAGGUUCGGAAUAACUCCCCGAAAGGGGUGCUAAUACCGGAUAAUGUCUUCGGACCAAAGAUUUAUCGCCUUUGGAUGGGCCCGCGUUGGAUUAGCUAGUUGGUAGGGUAAAAGCCUACCAAGGCGACGAUCCAUAGCUGGUCUGAGAGGAUGAUCAGCCACACUGGGACUGAGACACGGCCCAGACUCCUACAGGAGGCAGCAGUGGGGAAUAUUGGACAAUGGGCGAAAGCCUGAUCCAGCAAUGCCGCGUGAGUGAUGAAGGCCUUAGGGUUGUAAAGCUCUUUUACCCGGGAUGAUAAUGACAGUACCGGGAGAAUAAGCUCCGGCUAACUCCGUG